rnacentral:rRNA from 1 species
ACGUAAUAGAUACCCUGGUAGUCCACGCCCUAAACGAUGUCUACUAGUUGUUGGUGGAGUAAAAUCCAUGAGUAAACGCAGCUAAACGCGUGAAGUAGACCGCCUGGGGAGUACGGUCGCAAGAUUAAAAACUCAAAGGAAUUGACGGGGGCCCGCACAAGCGGUGGAUUAUGUGGAUUAAAUUCGAUGCAACGCGAAAAACCUUACCUGGCCUUGACAUGCCACUAACGAAGCAGAGAUGCAUUAGGUGCCCGUAAGGGAAAGUGGACACAGGUGCUGCAUGGCUGUCGUCAGCUCGUGUCGUGAGAUGUUGGGUUAAGUCCCGCAACGAGCGCAACCCUUGCCAUUAAUUGCCAUCAUUUAGUUGGGCACUUUAAUGGGACUGCCGGUGACAAACCGGAGGAAGGUGGGGAUGACGUCAAGUCCUCAUGGCCCUUAUGGCCAGGGCUUC